rnacentral:rRNA from 1 species
UACGUAGGGUGCGAGCGUUAAUCGGAAUUACUGGGCGUAAAGCGUGCGCAGGCGGUUUGUUAAGACAGAUGUGAAAUCCCCGGGCUUAACCUGGGAACUGCAUUUGUGACUGGCAAGCUAGAGUAUGGCAGAGGGGGGGUAGAAUUCCACGUGUAGCAGUGAAAUGCGUAGAGAUGUGGAGGAAAUACCGAUGGCGAAAGGCAGCCCCC